UACAGAGGGUGCGAGCGUUAAUCGGAAUUACUGGGCGUAAAGCGCACGUAGGUGGUUGCCUCAGUCAGCUGUGAAAGCCCCGGGCUCAACCUGGGAACUGCAGUUGAUACUGGGUAGCUAGAGUAUGGUAGAGGUAAGUGGAAUUCCAGGUGUAGCGGUGAAAUGCGUAGAUAUCUGGAGGAACAUCAGUGGCGAAGGCGACUUACUGGACCAAUACUGACACUGAGGUGCGAAAGCGUGGGGGGCAAACAGG
rnacentral:rRNA from 1 species